ACUUUUAAAGGAUAGUAGUUAUCCANUUNGGUCUUAGGAACCAAAAAAUUGGUGCAACUCCAAAUAAAAGUA
rnacentral:tRNA from 1 species